AGCGAACGCUGGCGGCAGGCCUAACACAUGCAAGUCGAACGAACUCUUCGGAGUUAGUGGCGGCCGGGUGAGUAACACGUGGGAACGUGCCUUUUGGUUCGGAAUAACUCAGGGAAACUUGUGCUAAUACCGAAUGUGCCCUUCGGGGGAAAGAUUUAUCGCCAUUAGAGCGGCCCGCGUCUGAUUAGCUAGUUGGUGAGGUAACGGCUCACCAAGGCGACGAUCAGUAGCUGGUCUGAGAGGAUGACCAGCCACACUGGGACUGAGACCCGGCCCAGACUCCUACGGGAGGCAGCAGUGGGUAAUCUUGCGCAAUGGGCGAAAGCCUGACGCAGCCAUGCCGCGUGAAUGAUGAAAGUCUGAGGAUUGUAAAGUUCUUUCACCGGUGACGAUAAUGACGGUACCCGGAGAAGAAGCCCCGGCUAACUUCGUG
rnacentral:rRNA from 1 species